rnacentral:lncRNA from 1 species
UGUGUGGGUUGCCCCGAGCAAGCACCACACAGAAGACGAAACAAUAAUGGAGAAAAACUCUCAAGCUAACCUUGGGGAAAGCAGUGCCCGCCUGUCAGUCAUGUAAGCUCUAUUUCACACGAUGCCAGGUUGAAUGCCGUGGACCACUGCAGAUUUUCAGAUGGAGCAUUAGCUAACCUAGCCCUGAAUGAGACCUUGAGCAAGUCCCUUGAAAUGCCCCGUUAAAAUCCUGAUUUUUAUCUAAGAAUCAAGAAUGCUGCUGGUGGCUCUUCUCAAAGCCUGACACCAGGGUGGGCCAACAGAGAGACACACUCAGGAGGCCAGGAAGUCACCGCUUCUGUGGCUUUAUCCUAAUUUUACAAAUUACUAGGGAAAAAAAAAACUACUCCGGCUGUCACAAUUUUCCUUCUCACCAGCUAAGUGUGGCUGCCGUCUUCCCCAGUGAUGUUUCCUGAUUACCUAGGUGCCUAAAAGAACGUUCAUGCAAAGUAUGGACCCAGAAAGACAAGAGGAUGCAGGCUUUAUUUGUGGAUAGGGAAAGGAAAGGAAGGAAGAGAGGAGACAAGAAGCAUUUGAGUGACAGUUCAUCACCCGAAUGAUUUCAAUUCACCGGCAUGUUUAUGUAGGUGUUUCCUAUCCUCUGAGUUAUCUGAGAAAUCAUUAUUUGCCAUUUUUGUCCAAACAAGCUAUCAAAGGGACUGGAAAGAUAGCUCAGCAGUUACGAGCACUUUUUGCUCUUGCUGGCAAAACCACCCUGAACGUAAAUACUUCUUUAAAAUAUUUUUAAUUCAAAGUUACUAAGAGGUUGAAACCUUUGGCCUAAGGAUGUGAAGAACGAGCCAGGGUUUGAACCCUGCCUGACAUGAAGACAUCCCUUCUCCUCCGCUCUGCCCUACCAAAGUAGAAAUUCUGUUAUCAGGUACCUAUAAAUGUCCUCUUGAGGGUGUGUGGCAUGUAACUUCAUAUUGAUGUAUCCACUGUGCGCCACAAGGAGUGACGGCACAAAAGGAGCUGUCAUGCUGGGAAAUCAGGGAACAUCACCCAAACCCAGCUCUGAACAAGCCAGUGCAGCAGAGACAAUACCGCACUGAGCCACGGCUGGGAGAAAUGGGCUAUGCGACUAGCCUGCCCUGAGUCUGGGUAAUGAAAGGUUUCUGUGAGCAUAAGAGCAGGUAUGACAGUCGGAGGUUUCUCUUCACUAUGAAUGAAGGAAGCUGGCCUUCCUGAAACUCAAACUUCUCAUCUAUGUACUGGAGAAACAGCACUUUGUUGGGUCAUGUUAAGUGCAGUGGAGUGUAGAAAGGAGUUUAAAAUAUGAUUAUCUUUUGUUACUUUCCCCCGUCUCUCCCUGAAACUCAAAACCCAAUUCUGUUUUAUAAAAACUAUUGAUUCAAAAAGAGGGCCUAAAAUUCACUUGCACGGUCUUUGUGCAGUUUUGUACAUAAGCCCGGUUGGAUUGUGUUUGAUCCAUAAGCUAUCUCUAUAAACACAUGGGACAAGGCAACACUCCUUAAAAUAUUAUGUCCUUAUGGUUUUGUUAUAAUUUUAAAACUUCUCCAUUAUUUGUUGUGCAUGGUAGUAUGUUGUGAGAACGUUUUCACACAAGUAUAUAUUGUGUGGUGUGCAUGCACACAACCGUCCCCUCCUCCCACCCCUCCUCCACCACCUUUGUUCUCUGCAGUUUCAUUUCUACUUUCAUUUCCUAAAUGCACACACGAUUUUAUGUGACUACAUAAAAUCCAGGAACUGCAUAUGAGAGAAAACGUACAACCUUAUUUUUCUGAGCCUGGCUUACUGGGGUUGUCUCCAAUUGCAUCAAUUUUUUUCUACAACUUGCAUAACUUUGUUUUGCUUUGUAGCUGAAAACAAAUGUUCUGUUGUGUCUCUCUAGGGUCUUGUCUUCCCCCUUCCCACUGUUGAUGGACACCCUGGUGAGUCCAUAACUUAGUUGUUGUCAAUAAUGCUGUGUAGUUUCUCCGUGACUUAGGGUCCUUCAGGGAAAUGCUCAGGAAUCACUGGCUUGUGUGGUAGGCCUACUGUUGGUUUCCGCACCAUGCUGACUUCCACAGUGGCUGAACUAGUUUACAUCCCUACCAUAAGAAUUCUUUAGUGGUCGCAUGUAUUGGGUGGUUUGUUUACAUUUCUGUGGUUGGGGACUCUUCAGUUCUUUAUGUAUUCUACAGUCUUCUGUCAGGUGUACGGCUGGCAAAGAUUUUCUCUGAGACUGUUUCUUUAUUCAGUUAGCUGUACUCAUUGACUGUGCCGAACCUUAACUUCACAAAGUUCCAUUUGUUAACUGUUGACGUUAUUUCCUGAGUUGGUAUAGCUUUGAACAUGGCAAGAAAAGAGACAAUGCUACCCAAAGUCUUGCGACCUUGUGUGGUGCAGACAGCCAGAAAACAAGGAAGAGUGGGGACAGGCUGACAUGGUCUCUCCCUCUUCUGGUGACUUUCGUGGUUUUGUUUUGUUUUUUGGCAGACCUCACCCUGAUGUUUUUCAGAAAUAGCACAGUUGUUUGGGAAGAUUACAGGCCACCAUCAUUUCCCAGAGACCGAACUGUGUUUAGCUCCUGACCCACUGCUCCCAUUGACCAGUUAGGGAGGGACCAUCCAAGCAUGCCUGUUGUUUCCCAGAUCCAAUCUUGUGAAAUUCAGGGAGAGCUACUGUCAAGGUCUCCAGAGAGACUGAUAGGACAGAUGGAUUGGAGAGGAGACUCAAGCAGUUACCAGAGACUGAAAAUGAGGUUAGUGGUGGACAGCCAGGUCUCUCUGACCGCGAAGACUCAUCUGAAUGACGGUUAAGGCACAGAUGUCUCUUCAAGCCCAUGUGUGGAAUGAAUGGAUACUAGGAACCCUCGGAACAGAAAGGAAGACUCCUCUUUGGAAAUCACGUGACUUUUGCGUGCUUAAAUAUGCUGUCCAAGCUGAAGUGUGCGGAAAGCACAGGAUUUCAAAGGUUAAGACUAAAGAGGGACGCAGCCGAUCGAUGUUAUGCUCGGUUUGAUGUGAUGAUAAUUGAGAUGUUUGGGUUUAAAUCAAAAUUAGUUUUAUUUGCUAUUGCUUUUCUGAACAUAUUUACAGAAGUGAAAUUAUUUUGAGAAGGCUAGCCCUAGUUAUAUAGCCCAGGCUGGUUCUAAACUUGUAGAAAUUACCCCUCCUCGACCUUGUAAGUGCUGGAAUUGUAGAUAGAGGCUACCGUGCCCAGCUAGAAAACUUGAAAUUGCCUGUACAGUUCACAUUCUACUUCCAUCCUUAUUAGACACUGUUGCUUCGGAAUUCACAUAGAACUUUUGCCCUAUUUUUGACUCCAGCUACAUUUCCUUGCACUUUAUGACCUAACUACGAGGAGAUGCUUAAUCAGCACUUUUCUGCCAAGCACUCUGCUCUAGUGGCCCACCUUGUAGAGAGUGCUCACCCCUAUCUGGUCACAGACAACCCCUGCUAGACUUCCCGGUCUGUUGGGGGCACCCUCUCUCCAGAGGCCUGUCCUCGUGACAUCUACCUAUACCAUAGUCUUUUCGGCUCUUGCGUUGCCUUUCUGAUCUUCCAAAUGUAUGAAGGAGUUACACGGAGAUCCUUAUUAACCUACUGUGAGAUGAACACCUGGCCUACAAAAUCCACAGCCUAGCAGUGCAGCUCACUGCAGAGAGCCUCGAGGCCACUCAUGAUCACGUGGCAGCUCAGUAGCUGUAGCCUUCUGCCCAGAAGUAUGAGGAGAUGACAGUGAAAUCAUGUAAGACAUCACUGGCCUAGAAGAAGAGUAAAGUCCAAAUCCUGAAGUAUACGUUUCUUUUCUUUUAUUGAUUGAUAAGUGCUUUAAUUUUUUUGAGGUAUGACCUGGCUGUGUAGACCCCAGCUGGCCUAGAAUUCACUAUGUAGGGAAGGCUGCUAUCAGAUUUUUAGUAAUCCUCCUGCCUGUUUCUUAAAUACUAGAAUAACUGCAGUGCUAAGCUAUGUAUUUAUUUUUUGCCAUGUGGCUGAGACUGGCCUGGAACCCCCAGUGCUUCUCCUUCAGCCUACAGAGUGCUAUGAUCGCAAGCGUGCACCACUAUGUCUGGCUAUGGAGUAUGGUUUUUACACCACAGUGAAGUCAGAAACUGAAAGUGAACUCGUCAUUAGUGAGGCCUGUCUAUGACCCCCAUGAGAGAGUGGACAAUGUUCAUUGCUUUGUUUACUGGACUCAGAGUGGUGCCUUGUUCAUCUCUGGCCUUCGACAAACAUUUCCAGAAUUGCCAAAUAGAUUAGCUUUAAAUGUAAUUGGGAUUGUUUAAACUGAGUCCAGUGUGAUGUCUUAGCCAAGCACCAUAAGGGAUCAACCACUGCACUAGGCACUGAGAAUGUGCCAUGGAACUCAGUAGUUUUCAGAGAGAGGUGGGUCAUUAGCCAGAGCUGUUUGGAUUCUGCCUUGAGCCUUCUACCAGGCUCUCCAAGAAGGAGACAAACGAUGUCAGCCACGAAGCGACAUCAGCUCACCAGUGGUCAGGGACUGCAAUGGUUACAGGAUGGACAGACCUCUGUGCACUUCUGUUCUGAUGUACACACCAUGGCUCCUGAGGACUUCAGUGAUGGGCCACAUGGGGCCUCUUUUCUAGCUGUGGAAGCUGGAGUUUAACACAACUAGAUUGCCAAAGCUACUGUGAGGCCAAUAUGUAAAUCAGAGGCUCUUUUUUUGUUUGUUUGUUUGUUUGUUUGUUUUGUUUGUUUGUUUUUGUUUUUUUUUAUGUAUCCAGCAAUUGUUCUAGGGAAAGAUAAAUACAUCGAGGAGACGACUCCAUCAGUAAAGUGCUUGUCAUGUAGCCACAAUGACCCAAGUUCCAAUCCCCUGGCAACCAUAUAGAAAACACUGGCAGUGUGAGCCUAUAAUCCCAGCACUGGGGAGAUGGUGACAGGAAGGGCUCAUGGGCUAGCUAGUCAGGUCCUAGGUUCAGUAAGAGAUUCUGCCUCAAAAACCUAAGGUUGAGAGCAGUUGAGGAGCUCAUCUCAUUUCCACAAAUACACACACACACACACACACACACACAUACAGACACACACAUACACACAUACACACACUCACACACAUACACACACAUGUGUGCACUCGCAAAAUACACAUAUAAACAAACAAACUGUUCAUCUUGACUGCAUCAGGAUCAUGAAAGGGGGCGGAUAACGCAUCCCCUAUAAAUAUUUAUUUCACAUGUAAUUUUCCAUAUUAUUUUAUUUGUAACUGUGAAUAUGCAUGUUUCUCUAUUUUAAAAAAUAUUAUUUGCAAAGAAAAUUGGGAAAGAAGUGCCACAAAGUUACCCUGCAUUCAACAGGGUCUGCUUCUCACAUCUUGAUUGUUUUCAUUUGUUCUGUGUCUCAGCUAGAAGAUGAGGACUGGUUCCCAGGCAGAGGCUCAAAAAGAACUGAAUACUGAUUUCAGUUCUGGAGAAAUUGUUGGUGCUACCAUCCCCAGUGCUAACCAAGUCUACUCUUGUGUCACAGUUCUCUUGCAAUAGCCAGUCCUUCCUCAACCUCUUUUGAAAGUGCCCUUUGUUAAAUGUCCCUGUUACAAGCCAGGCAGUGUAGUGACACCCUCCUACCUUAUGCUCCAGUCAACCCGAAGGGGAAAGAAUUGUCCUCAUGAGCUAUGAAUAAAAUGGUUCUUGGAGCCAGGCAGUGGUGGUGCAUGCCUUUAACCCCAGUACUUGGGAGGCAGAGGCAGGCAGAUUUCUGAGUUCAAAGCCAGCCUGGUCUAUAGAGUGAGUUCCAGGACAGCCAGGGCUACACAGAGAAACCCUGUUUCCAAAAAAACAAAAACCAAAAAAACCCAAAAAACAAAACAAAACCAAACAAAUAAAAAGGUUCUUGGAAGUUAGAUGAACCACCCAAGUUUGUGGAGCUAACAAGAGACAAGCAAAGCCUCUUGGACCCCGCCCUGCCUCUGUUGUGCUGGUUUUACCCCUUCAGAAAGAAUGCAAUUGAAUGACGUGUUUCACAGAUGACUCCGUAGUUGACUAAAAUUCUGUUUUCGAUGGCAACCAUAUUCUAGGCACCCAAGAAAGGCUCUGCCAUCCAAAGGCAUUUCCCAAACUCAUUUUCCCUAGAGAGGAUAGUCCCAUAAAUAGAAUCUGUCUCACUGGGUCAGGUGGCCCAUCUCCUAAGGACAAUGGCAUUUGUACACAGGUAAACGUUGAACAUCAUUAUCAAACAACAUACCAUCAGUCAUUCAGAAAACACAUCUAGUAAGCUCCAAAAGGACACAUGCCUGGGACCAGAACAGUUUUAUGGGGAAGGGCCAAGUGGCUGGCCAAAGGUAGUUACAGAACAGGAGUAUGGUACCGAGGUGUUACUGUAGAACUUUGAAUAACCUAGGGGCAUGGGAAAGCCAGAUGUGGCCAAGACAUCACGAACAGUAUGUCUCACUAUCCUGCCAAGCCUAAGCACAAUUACUAAUUAGCUCAUAGAGAUCACAGAGCAGGGAAUGUUGUCAUACACAUGACUGCUCCCACCGAGUACAUAGCUCAGCCCAGCCAUGAGUUUUACACACAUUGCUAUGUCAAUAGGACCAUGGUGUGUGACACUAAGGCUAACUGAAUAGAAAAAGCAGUCACCAUCAUGACCCUUUAAAGGCCCUUCUCCCAAGAGCUUGCACGGAGUCCCUUUCAGACGGAGUCAGGAAGCAACUUUGGGAUGUUUGUUUGGGAACACUGAGGCUGGCUUACAAAGGGAAGGAAAAUUUCUGAAUAGUAAAUUUCUGG